rnacentral:rRNA from 1 species
UGGCGGACGGGUGAGUAACGCGUGGAAAACCUGCCGUAUACUGGGGGAUAACACUUAGAAAUAGGUGCUAAUACCGCAUAAGCGCACAGCUUCGCAUGAAGCGGUGUGAAAAACUCUGGUGGUAUACGAUGGUUCCGCGUCUGAUUAGCUAGUUGGUGGGGUAAUGGCCUACCAAGGCAACGAUCAGUAGCCGGGCCUGAGAGGGUGAACCGGCCACAUUGGGACUGAGACACGGCCCAAACUCCUACGGGAGGCAGCAG